GGGGAUUCUUCUCUAAUCUUUCAGAAACUUUGUCUGCGAACACUCUUUAAUGGACCAGAUCAGGAUUUGAGCGGAAGAACGAAUGUAACUUUAAGAGGCAUUUCAUCCUUCAUGAAGCCAUUCAGGAUUUUGAAUUGCAUAUGAGUGCUUGGCUCUUCCUUCUGUUCUAACUUCACAGAGAAUGCAGUUGUCUUGACUUCAGAUGCAACCUUAAAAUCAGUGACAAGAAACAUUCCAAACAAGCAACAGUCUUCAAGAAAUUAAACUGGCAAGUGGAAAUGUUUAAACAGUUCAGUGAUCUUUAGUGCAUUGUUUAUGUGUGGGUUUCUCUCUCCCCUCCCUUGGUCUUAAUUCUUACAUGCAGGAACACUCAGCAGACACACGUAUGCGAAGGGCCAGAGAAGCCAGACCCAGUAAGAAAAAAUAGCCUAUUUACUUUAAAUAAACCAAACAUUCCAUUUUAAAUGUGGGGAUUGGGAACCACUAGUUCUUUCAGAUGGUAUUCUUCAGACUAUAGAAGGAGCUUCCAGUUGAAUUCACCAGUGGACAAAAUGAGGAAAACAGGUACCCCUCACUAAAGGCACCGAAGGCUUAAAGUAGGACAACCAUGGAGCCUUCCUGUGGCAGGAGAGACAACAAAGCGCUAUUAUCCUAAGGUCAAGAGAAGUGUCAGCCUCACCUGAUUUUUAUUAGUAAUGAGGACUUGCCUCAACUCCCUCUUUCUGGAGUGAAGCAUCCGAAGGAAUGCUUGAAGUACCCCUGGGCUUCUCUUAACAUUUAAGCAAGCUGUUUUUAUAGCAGCUCUUAAUAAUAAAGCCCAAAUCUCAAGCGGUGCUUGAAGGGGAGGGAAAGGGGGAAAGCGGGCAACCACUUUUCCCUAGCUUUUCCAGAAGCCUGUUAAAAGCAAGGUCUCCCCACAAGCAACUUCUCUGCCACAUCGCCACCCCGUGCCUUUUGAUCUAGCACAGACCCUUCACCCCUCACCUCGAUGCAGCCAGUAGCUUGGAUCCUUGUGGGCAUGAUCCAUAAUCGGUUUCAAGGUAACGAUGGUGUCGAGGUCUUUGGUGGGUUGAACUAUGUUAGAAAAGGCCAUUAAUUUGCCUGCAAAUUGUUAACAGAAGGGUAUUAAAACCACAGCUAAGUAGCUCUAUUAUAAUACUUAUCCAGUGACUAAAACCAACUUAAACCAGUAAGUGGAGAAAUAACAUGUUCAAGAACUGUAAUGCUGGGUGGGAACAUGUAACUUGUAGACUGGAGAAGAUAGGCAUUUGAGUGGCUGAGAGGGCUUUUGGGUGGGAAUGCAAAAAUUCUCUGCUAAGACUUUUUCAGGUGAACAUAACAGACUUGGCCAAGCUAGCAUCUUAGCGGAAGCUGAUCUCCAAUGCUCUUCAGUAGGGUCAUGAAGGUUUUUCUUUUCCUGAGAAAACAACACGUAUUGUUUUCUCAGGUUUUGCUUUUUGGCCUUUUUCUAGCUUAAAAAAAAAAAAAGCAAAAGAUGCUGGUGGUUGGCACUCCUGGUUUCCAGGACGGGGUUCAAAUCCCUGCGGCGUCUUUGCUUUGACUACUAAUCUGUCUUCAGGACUCUUUCUGUAUUUCUCCUUUUCUCUGCAGGUGCUAGUUCUUGGAGUUUUGGGGAGGUGGGAGGUAACAGCACAAUAUCUUUGAACUAUAUACAUCCUUGAUGUAUAAUUUGUCAGGAGCUUGACUUGAUUGUAUAUUCAUAUUUACACGAGAACCUAAUAUAACUGCCUUGUCUUUUUCAGGUAAUAGCCUGCAGCUGGUGUUUUGAGAAGCCCUACUGCUGAAAACUUAACAAUUUUGUGUAAUAAAAAUGGAGAAGCUC
rnacentral:lncRNA from 1 species